AUUAAAUUCAUAUUUAUUGAAAAACAUUUUCAAUAAAUUUUAUUUUAUAUAUACAUUUUAAAAUUAUGUUGCGAAUGUCUUAAGGUUCAUUUUGUUAAAAUUCAUCAUUAUUGAGCGGAAUUAAAACAGGAACCAAAUUAACUUUUACCGGGCGCCCAUUUAUUUUGGACUUCGGAUUAAGUACAACAUUUAUUUUAAAUGUACAAUAUAUAUAUAUAUAUAUAUACNCNUGGCGCAUUUUCAGGCAAAAGGGUUAAAAAAAGCC
rnacentral:misc_RNA from 1 species